rnacentral:rRNA from 1 species
GAUGAACGCUAGCGGCAGGCUUAACACAUGCAAGUCGAGGGGCAGCAUAAACAUUGCUUGCAAUGUUUGAUGGCGACCGGCGCACGGGUGCGUAACGCGUAUGUAACCUACCUCAAACAGGGGCAUAACACUGAGAAAUUGGUACUAAUUCCCCAUAACACUCUGGGUAGGCAUCUCCUGGGGUUGAAAGUUUCCGGCGGUUUGAGAUGGACAUGCGUUGUAUUAGCUAGUUGGUGAGGUAACGGCUCACCAAGGCGACGAUACAUAGGGGGACUGAGAGGUUAACCCCCCANAUUGGUACUGAGACACGGACCAAACGUCCUACGGGAGGCAGCAGUGAGGAAUAUUGGUCAAUGGACGCAAGUCUGAACCAGCCAUGCCGCGUGCAGGAUGACGGCUC